GAAAUAUAUACAGCUGCCCAUGAGCAGUGACAGCCAUACAGAUUAAACAUUAACACAUAAAAACAACAAUAACAAACAAUUUCACCGUUUCAUCUUUCUGUAUAUUACCAAUUCAGCUUUUUUAUACUAUCAAAGAGCCAAAGAGAUUCUCUCCUUCAGCUCCACAUAUAAUAUCAUAAAAACAAAUGAUAACAAUAAUAAUGAUAAAAAUAAUAGCAAUUAUACUUUCAAGUUCAAAAACUAUAUUCAGUUCAAUUACCUUAAAAAAUGAAAAUAAACAAAAAAAAGUAGUAAAAAAAAAAAGGAGAAAAAAAGGUUAAUUCAGCCAUUAAUUAAUCAUGUGAAACCCAACCUUCUCUUCUUCCAGAAACUCAACUCUGGAUCAAGCUUCUCUCCUGUUCUCGCUGGUUCUGAUUUGCACCUUGUGAGUAUCAAAGGAUGUACAGUGCCAUCUUCCUCUGUUCUUAAUUCUUCAAUUUUUGCAGGGUUCAUUGUCCUUUCUCUAAUUGAAGUAACUGGACCUUCAAAUCCUUUGAAAAAACUUAACUUUUCUUCAGUUUGUGGAUCUAAUCUUGUUUCUUGAUUAGAUUCUCUAUAAACAGACUCCCUUUUUGAUGUGGGACUGUCUUCUUGUGUAUUCUCUUGCUCUGGACUCCGUUUUUGCUCAGUUUCUUCACUUUCCAAAGGUGAGCCCCAAAAUCUACUAGCUAAAGAAGAAGACCUGUAUGGCGCAGAUCUGCUUCUCGUCAAUAAUAAAGCGUUCUUUGGUGGUGAAAUAACUGUAGAAACAUAUGCCUCUUCUUCCUCUUGACUUUCUUGCUCUAAGUCUUCACUUCUGUUGACGAAUUUCGGUCCAACCUUUGAAGAAUCCUCCCUAAUUUUGCUUUUUCUGUUAAAACCCACCUUUAAAAACAUUACCCAGUUGCUCCAUGAAGGCAUACAACACUUGGGUUUGAGCUUCAUUUUUGAACGAUGAUGGCAAAACAAGGUGUUUCGGAUCCAUUUACAGUAGCGUUUGGCUUUACCGGGUCGGGUCUUGUCUUGCUUGGACCGCUUGAUUCUAACCUGUCCCAUGCAGGUGACUUUAGGAGAAGAAGGCUCUUGGGUUUCAAUGGCGGCGUUCUUCUUCCUAACGAACAUAGGGCUUGAACGUGACUUGCCUCUACUUCUGCUACCACCAUUGCUCCUCAAAAAUCUCAUCAAUGGCGGCGGGUACUUCUCGGUCCGACCCGGACUCGAUAUGGGUUUUGUAGAUAGCUUCAUCUCUUCCAACUCGCUCUCCCUCUCUCUCUCUCUUUCUUG
rnacentral:misc_RNA from 1 species